rnacentral:rRNA from 1 species
UACGUAGGGUGCGAGCGUUGUCCGGAAGUAUUGGGCUUAAAGAGCUCGUAGGCGGUCUGUCGCGUCGGUCGUGAAAACUUGGGGCUUAACCCUGAGCUUGCGGUCGAUACGGGCAUGACUGGAGUUCGGUAGGGGAGACUGGAAUUCCUGGUGUAGCGGUGAAAUGCGCAGAUAUCAGGAGGAACACCGGUGGCGAAGGCGGGUCUCUGGGCCGAUACUGACGCUGAGGAGCGAAAGCGUGGGGAGCAAACAGG